rnacentral:rRNA from 1 species
GAUUAACGCUGGCGGCGUGCAUAACACAUGCAAGUCGAACGAAGUGGCGGACGGGUGAGUAACGCGUGAGUAACCUGCCUUAGAGAAGGGGAUAGCCUUUGGAAACGAAGAAUAAUAACAUAUGCUCUAAGAUGGACUUGCGGCUGAUUAGUUAGUUGGUGGGGUAACGGCCUACCAAGACAGCGAUCAGUAGCCGGCUGGAGAGAGUGUACGGACACAUUGGGAGUGGGACACGGCGCAGACUCUACGGGAGGCAGCAGUGGGGAAUUUUGCACAAUGGGGGAAACCCUGAUGCAGCGACGCCGCGUGAUUUAGAAGGCCUUCGGGUUGUAAAAAUCUUUUCUAUGGGAAGCAGUACCAUAGGAAUAAGGACCGGCUAACUUCGUGCCAGCCGCCGCGGUAAUAC